ensembl:lncRNA
CGGGGGAGACGGCGCCGGAGACGGCGUCCCUGAGAGGGGUGGUGGGGCAGAACGGGGUGCCGGGGGCCAAGUGGAGCCAGACGCGGUCCUACUGCUAGGACUGAUGAGUGGUCAGUAGGAGUUAGCCAGUAGGAGUGCUUGUAGCACUCCUACUGGCUAACUCCUAGCACUGGCUAACUCUGGCUAACUCUGGCUCCUAGCACUGGCUAACUGGCUAACUCCUACUGGCUAACUCCUAGCACUCCUACUCGCUAACGCCUAGAGGACACAACCGACCGUGUCCAGAAUCGAUCAUAGCACAGCCCUGUCCCGUCACCUCUCAGGGCGCGAUACAAGCCAGCCCUGGCCUUUUGGAAGUGAUCAACUUUCCCCCGAAAACAGUCCUGGUGCAUUUAAAACUUAAGGUUGAUCCACUUUGCUUUAGUGAUCAGACGUGACUGCCGCUUCUGACCUGCCAUCACAUCCAACAGGAAUUGUGUCUUAACAAAAGGUACAACAUUGUAGUCCCAUGUUACUAGAAAAACAUACAUUUUUAUAAUAGUCACAUGAUUUGGAUGUUGUUGUCACAAACCAACUCAUUCAUGGAGAAAGAAAUUGUCAGCUCUCUGGUUAAGAGCUUUGUAAAUGUAAACUACAUUCUUGUAUAUACUUUUUUCUUUUUAAUUUGCAACGAGGCCUCGAUAUUCGUUUCAUGGUCAAAUAUUAACUCGGUCAUUAACUUAUUUGUAUUUUUUUACUACAUAUUAAUUUAUUUAGGUUGUUCCAGGGCCAUGGUGCUCCAGGUGAUUAAAACACCUGUAACCGUCUCUCAUGGCAGUACUAAAACAUACGUUUGUCAUGAUUCUGAGGAACCGUGAGUGUGCGUUCACCACUGCCGUAAAUGUAAGCGUUGGCAGUAGCAGUAGCUCUAACCGGUAGCAGCCUUGUUGAUACACUCACUCAAACAGUGAGUGUAUCCCUAUUUGACUUGUGUAACACUUGUUUUAGCGCGCUCUACAGAGGAAGUAGAAGAUAGCGUAAUCAACCAAAAUGUUGGAAGUAACACUUCUGUGCUACUGCUACCGUUUUGUGCUACUGCUACCAAAGUGCUACUGCUAUUGUUUACAUUCGUGGCGAGGGCUUAUGCACGCUACAACAGUUAUCUUGACAAAUGAAUGGUAUCAAAUGUUUGAGUGAGUCGGGCAGAGACAGUGGUUUAAUCACCCGGCCAGUAUGGUCCUUUACCUUUAGUGCUAACUUCAACAUCUGGCACGCUUUUUUAAUUUAAAUGGAUGCAUGUUGGUCAGACAGGCUGUGUGUGUGCAGAUGUGGCUUGUGUGACGGCAAUCUAAUCUAGAAUGAUACAGAUUGUUAUUUGAAGCACUGGGCGAUAAGCGGUGCAGAGUUGUCCUUGCCAUUAUAGAUUAGAAGUGAUAGAGAUUUUUUUAGGUUUUAGGUUUUAUAAUUUGCGGUGUGUUUUAAUUUAUACUAAUAGGAUUCAAACAAACCAAUACUUUAUUUUUCCCGUGAAGAAGCAGUGGUACCUGUUUUUUUUUUUUUUAAAUACAUUGUUGUAGUCUUAACUUUUUAGAUGAGGACCAACCAAAAGAUGGUCUUGUUUUGGAGUUGCUUUUUAGUGAAAGCACACAAUUUACGAGUCCGGACACUCCUAGUAAUCUGUCUGAAUGGAACCAAUGGUAAUCCCUCUGUCUACAUGUCCUACACUAUACCUCUAUUAUUGAGGGUCUUGGCUUAGAUUUGUAGCCAUAAAGCACUAUGCAAUUUGCUGUCUGUAUGACCACUUUUAUACGGCCCAUCCAUCGUUUAAGACCAAAUUCAUUAAAGACCAUAUUUAAUGAAAAGGGUUUUGUUAGGCCUAAAACUUACAUUCCAUUUCAUGCACAGCACAAACAAAUCAUGUUUGCCUUUCUAUGGACGGCGCAAGUGUGACCUCACACGAGUUCUGAGCUAGAACGACGAUGCUGUUCAAAUGCAGUUACAGCUGGUUUUGUCAUACAUGAUGAGCUAGGAAAAUGGUUAAAACUCUUAAUGUUUGCAAUUGCAUCGUGCAGACAUACUAGCCUUAGGAAGAUGUUUACAUGUGUCUUAUUCAUACUUGGAAGUUUUGACUUCCAAGAGUUUUUAUGUCCGGUUCCCUUUCUUAUACCUAAUAUGUUUGAUUGGUGUCAGAGAUUCCAAGACAUGAGGCACAAAGCAAAUGGACCUCAAUACACACACACUGCCACUGGUAUGUAACCCUUUGUAAAAUUGCAACUACUCAAACAUUUGCCUGAGAUCCACUUUUGAGACUGGAUGGUACACUCCCGUUUACAUUCUGUGUGCAGUAUGUAUGCAUGCGUGCAUUGUGUCUCAAAUAAUUUCCCAUACCUAUGCAGUGAUUUAGACAUUAGAGUUCAAGUAAACUUUCUGUCAAGUAUUAAAUGUUUGCAUAGGUUUGUGAUGUUCUGAGGUCCAACAGCAGUUCCAAAACAUUGGGACACUGUAAAUGUUCUCAAAUUAAUAAAAGAUAUGCUGGCUCAGUAAGAAA